AACGCACAUUGCGCCCGCCAGUAUUCUGGCGGGCAUGCCUGUUCGAGCGUCAUUUCAACCCUCAAGCCCCCGGGCUUGGUGUUGGGGACCGGCCCCCCGCCCUCCGGCGGGGGCCGCCCCCGAAAAUCAGUGGCGGUCUCGCUGUAGCUUCCCCUGCGUAGUAGCACACCUCGCUCUGGAACGCGGCGCGGCCAUGCCGUGAAACCCCCCACUUCUGAAGGUUGACCUCGGAUCAGGUAGGAAUACCCGCUGAACUUAA
rnacentral:misc_RNA from 2 species